CCUACGGGAGGCAGCAGUGGGGAAUUUUCCGCAAUGGGCGAAAGCCUGACGGAGCAACGCCGCGUGAGGGAUGAAGGCCUCUGGGCUGUAAACCUCUUUUAUCAAGGAAGAAGAUCUGACGGUACUUGAUGAAUAAGCCACGGCUAAUUCCGUGCCAGCAGCCGCGGUAAUACGGGAGUGGCAAGCGUUAUCCGGAAUUAUUGGGCGUAAAGCGUCCGCAGGCGGUCUUGUAAGUCUGUCGUUAAAGCGUGGAGCUUAACUCCAUUUCAGCGAUGGAAACUGCAAGACUAGAGUGUGGUAGGGGCAGAGGGAAUUCCCGGUGUAGCGGUGAAAUGCGUAGAUAUCGGGAAGAACACCAGUGGCGAAGGCGCUCUGCUGGGCCAUAACUGACGCUCAUGGACGAAAGCCAGGGGAGCGAAAGGGAUUAGAUACCCCUGUAGUCCUGGCCGUAAACGAUGAACACUAGGUGUCGGGGGGAAUCGACCCCCUCGGUGUCGUAGCCAACGCGUUAAGUGUUCCGCCUGGGGAGUACGCACGCAAGUGUGAAACUCAAAUGAAUUGACGG
rnacentral:rRNA from 1 species